rnacentral:rRNA from 1 species
GAAAAGAAUGCUAAUACCGCAUAAUAUAUAUUUAUCGCAUGGUAGAUAUAUCAAAGAUUUAUCGCUUAGAGAUGGACUCGCGUCCGAUUAGUUAGUUGGUGAGGUAACGGCUCACCAAGACCGCGAUCGGUAGCCGGACUGAGAGGUUGAACGGCCACAUUGGGACUGAGACACGGCCCAGACUCCUACGGGAGGCAGCAGUGGGGGAUAUUGCGCAAUGGGGGAAACCCUGACGCAGCAACGCCGCGUGAAGGAUGAAGGUCUUCGGAUUGUAAACUUCUUUUAUUAAGGACGAAGAAAGUGACGGUACUUAAUGAAUAAGCUCCGGCUAACUACGUGCCAGCAGCCGCGGUAAUACGUAGGGAGCAAGCGUUGUCCGGAUUUACUGGGUGUAAAGGGUGCGUAGGCGGCUUUGCAAGUCAGAUGUGAAAUCUAUGGGCUCAACCCAUAGCCUGCAUUUGAAACUGCAGAGCUUGAGUGAAGUAGAGGCAGGCGGAAUUCCCCGUGUAGCGGUGAAAUGCGUAGAGAUGGGGAGGAACACCAGUGGCGAGGGCGGCCUGCUGGGCUUUAACUGACGCUGAGGCACGAAAGCGUGGGUAGCAAACAGGAUUAGAUACCCUGGUAGUCCACGCUGUAAACGAUGAUUACUAGGUGUGGGGGGUCUGACCCCUUCCGUGCC